UUUCGUGCUAAAAACCCUCGAUGCAAUAAAUUCUAUACACAUUAAAAUAAAACAAGCUUGAAUGAAAAACCGUAUUAAACCUUAAUUUCACUGUUGCAGCUUAAUAUGUUUGCAUUCUAUCACCGUAAUACAGUCCUUCUGUGUGUCGCAUUACUGCAAUAAUUAUUUUAUAUUUUAUGUUUAAAAUUAUCUAAGUUAUGAAAAUAUAUGUAACGAAAGAAAAGGCAUGAUUGGCUUCUAGACAAUCAAACAGGUAGAACUGUACCCAAGCUAACCAGCCUGCCCCACACAGGUAUGCACACAGCCACAGGCACAAGACGGAAACGAUGUUUUGGUAUAAAUAAGCCCGCAACGCUCUCGGCAUGUCACAUUCGUUCGAACCAUCUAGACUGAUGGCUUCUCCAUCGACAAGAGAAAUUUCCCGAAGAUCAGCAUCAGCAAGCCGAUUGUAAAAGUGAAAAAGCAUUAAGCGUCACCAAAAUAUACAGUAAACAUACCGGCAACCAAAGCAAUACCGGUUCAAGUGCAAGUGUUCUUCAGAAACUACAUUUCCUGUGAUGGCAUCAAAAACCACCUUUCCAGCGAUGGCAUCAAAAACCAUCCAAAGCGAGCCGAGCACAUGGUCAGCGCACCUCCGAUCAAGGUUAUGUGUAUCGAAAUGUGGGAUAAAACUAAAGCGACAUGUAAAUACCAACCUGUGAUCGAGAUAAAGCGCAAGCAUCAUCUUACGAAAGUGCUGAAGUGAUGUGAUUGAAGAAAUGAUUACCAUGUACAAAUCGUCUAAAAAUGGUGUUUGCGUAAAUAUUUCAUUCCGGAAUUAAUAAAUCGAGCGAAUACACGCAGCACAAAGAAGAGGACAGUCCACCAACACCUGGAAACUUGGAUAGACGGCCCAUAGAGCUGGAGUAAAUAGAUAGCCGGCACAGACAAACAACGGCGUUAGAAAAAUAUAUGGAGUGAAAUGUGACAGUGAAAGUGGGACAAUCCUUGAGUCGACAAGUUUGCUGAGCUCAUUGUCCAACACGGAUUGACAGGCGAGAAUGGACCGGAGUCCCAACCGUAUCUGCCGACCGAAAACGACUGAGCUGGCGCUGAUAUCCGCUAACGUCUGCGCGUCUUCAGCAGCUAGAGUGAAAGUGUCAUAAUACACCAUAAUACCGGUAUUUAACAAUUCAAUUUCUCAGCAGCCCUGCUUGGAAGUUUGCUUGCGAUUAGCUCUCAAUAACUCAAUAAUCGUCCAAUGUUCGUUGCAAGCAGCAACGCAGUAAAUUCCAUCUAUCCCUCAACUUUCGAACCGGUUUUAGUUAGACCCUUUGCCGCUCUUCUGCAGUUUCUUUUUUUUGAAUUGUAAAGAAAUUCAACUGCUAGAAUUUUCGAUUAUUGCGAAAGAAGAAACGAUAGUUAACAGUUGAUUUAGACAGUGUUUAGAGAGAUGUUGUGUGAGUUUGCAGUUUUUUUUUAAUUUGACAAAGAGCGGGUUUGUGGGAAGUAUUGCUUCCUACCGAAUUGAUGAUGUAUUCUUUUAGUUUUUUUUUGUUUUAUUCAUUAUUUUGGUUCAUUUAUGUUUGGGAAAGUGGAGUGAACAAUGUAAAUAUCGUCUAUUUGGUAUCUUACAACUAAAGUUAUUACCAUUUAUACUUUAAAUCAAUGCAAAAUAUGGCAUUGUUUUAACAACUUCUUAAAUUUCGGAUAUAUUUUACAUUCUGUAUUAUAUACCUCAAUGGACCAUUUCUUGAUUAAAGAUACCAAGAUAAUAAUUUUACAAUCACUACAAAAUUGCCACGCGGAUUUUAUCCAUCUGGAAGAUGGAUUAUAUCGAUGAAUCUAGCAAAACGUAAAAAUGAUACCAAUUAAUAUGCUUGACACAUCAUAACUGCGAAUUGUAUCGAUAAUCGGCAAGCAAAUGGGGUGCUUGAAUUGCACAGCGCUGGCAAAUCCUAUGUAUCAAAAUCGUUAGCAUUGUUGGUUGUAUUGUACUGCGGAUGAAUGAAGAUCUUUUCGAAAAUAGUUCUUCAACCAGAAAUUAUUAAAUCAGUUUAAUAUCUAUUACCUCUCCUACCUACACAAUUCUAUAUCAACGCUUCAGUUGGCCCUGGAAGCAUGCUGAACUGGUCUCAAAUUCACUCGUUCAUUUCGUAUCCUGCUGGAGUACGAAGAAUGUCGUUCGAGUUGCCUCACAUUUUUUACUAUUCCACAAUCAAUUUCAGCGCGCUGUUCAUUGUCCACAGACAGAAGGGUUGCACGUACACCUGUGUGCAUAAAAAUAGUAACUGCUUAAGAAUCGACCACAGAUUUUCUAUCGGCUUUAGGUCAGGACUCAACGCAGGCCACGGUAGAACGCUCUGGAUAAUCGCGCUCUGAUACUCGGUACAAUGUUUACCUCGACCCAUUGUUUCACGUAGCGACUAACGCGCACAUCCUGGUUUGCCAAAUAACUCUUAACUGUUCGCGAUGUGUGUUUUGAGUCGUUAUCAUGCUGAAAGAUGUAAUGCUCUUCGCUUUCGAAUGUUUUUCGAGCGUAUGGAAACCUCUUACGACUAAGUAUUUUUCUGUACCCUUCCGAGUUCAGUGUCCCGUUGAUACGGAACAAAGGACCCGUGCCGUGACAGGAGAAGCAACCCCACACCAUUACGUGGACGCCUCCGUGCUUAAGGGUUUUUACCGUGUUUUUCGGAUGAUACGCCUGAUUGGGUAGGCGCCAGACGUAUUUAAUGCCGUCCGAAUCAUCCAGAUUGAUUCUGGACUCAUCCGAAAAAAUUAUUUUCAUCCACCAAGUGAUGGAUGCAGCUAAAUGUUCUUCGGCAAAUCGAAUGCGCGCUUCAACGUGGUGCGGCAGCAGCUUCCGAACCUUCCGUGGUCUCCGGGCACGGAACCCAGCGUCGUGUAAACGGCGAAACACCGUCUUCGAUGAAACUUGCAAUACAAGCUCCUGCUUGAUUUAAGUGCAAGUUUUGAAAGAGUCCGCCCUGCGCGUCAACGUUAGCCGUUGUUUUUCGCGGACGACCGGUCGACUUACCCGUAGCCUCGCUACGAAUGGCGUUGUCCACAAACGUCUUGCAGAUUGUCUUUAUUGGUACGUUCUCACGAAACAGCCCCUGAAUGUGUUUUCGCUCCUCUGGUAUGCAGUGUUUUCUAUAUCAACGCUACAGCAGCCACUACUUCUUUAUUCUAAGCUUUUGUAGUCAUAAUGUGGCGCUGGAAGCAUGCUGAACUGGUCUCAAAUUCACUCGUUCAUUUCGUAUCUUGCUGGAGUACGAAGAAUGUCGUUCAAGUUGCCGCACAUUCUUCACUAUUCCGCAAUUAAUUUCAGCGCGCUGUUCAUUGUCUACAGACAGACGGGUUGCACGUACCUGGUCAUCGUGAUAUUGGAGCUCAGCUUGAUCAAGGCUAUGUCGUUGACGAUGCUGGCUUUGCUAAACCCUGGAUGUAUGAUUAUCUCCCGCGCACUUGCUGGCCUUACCUUGGGUAGGGGGACACACCCAGCUCAUAAAUCAAGACGUGUAACAUCGUUUACAGUCUAUAUACUAACAUUAACAUUGUACCGAAUCAAAUUUACUUGCUGUAAUUACUGGGUACAAUUUUCGUAGUUUAGUGCUGAUCGGUCAACCGACUGAACAGCUGAUAACCAAAAAGCUGGUUACCAAAUUGGGCAGAGCCUUCGGCGAGUUUUGCAAAACGAUGAGAUACACCAGAACACGAGUGAUCCUCGCUUGACGAAAUUUGCAUUGGUUGAAGCAUUGAUUCGAAGCAGAAAAAUGUUUGUUGGUUCUAUUUCGUCAUUCACUUUUCGGUUGAAACGAUGGACAACUAUCUCACAUUAAAAACCCCAUUUAAGUUAGACGUGAGAACUAAUGCAACGUAGAGACUUCUUCUAGAAAAGUUCCAUGGUCUCCUCGUGUGACAUAGGCGACAGUUCCAGUAGGAGGUUGCCUUGGAAGCAUGUGCGAAUUCUUUGCACUUCUUCCCUAUUAAUACUCCCCUUGGAAGUAUCUCCAUUCAGCCGUGCUUGAAUCCAUUAACGCAUUGAAGCUCUAUUGCGUUUGGUAUUCGGUCAGCCUUAUUUUCGAGUUAAAACAAUUGAUUCUAUGUUACGACUAUACUGUAGCUCUAAUCACUUUAGGCUUUACUUGCUUCCCUCUUUACAUUUAAGAAAUGUACUAUCAUUUAACAGCCGCAUUGUUGAAUUUAUUGAAUUUACAAUCGCCACUUCACUAGAAACCCCUUUAACACCAUACUCAAACUCACACACAUGUCUCAAAGCAAUAUACAAUGAAGAUCAUAUUUGAAGAAAGGAACGUAAAAAAGAAACAAUAGAUGUUUAAAGAUAAAGAUUUAAGGAAUCCUGUAAAUGGUCUCUAUAAUAAAUUCCAAUUCAAAUAGCAUUCUAAUGUAAUUAUAUGAAAUAAAAAUAUAAUAAUGUAUACUGAA